rnacentral:tRNA from 1 species
CACCCUGCUGGCCGGGGCCGACGGCGAGCCGCGCCCGCCGGCCGGGCGGGAGACCGCCACCGCGGUGAUCUCCGCGCUGGCGGGGUGGC